rnacentral:lncRNA from 1 species
UUGUAUCAGGUUAGAGAAGACAAUGCAUGAACACUCAAUAGGUUUAAGCUAACCAAGCUAGAAGCAUAACCAGAGCAGCUCAACAAAAGAGCAAGUUAGAAGAAGAAAAAGGAAUAUUUUGCAGAAAUCAUAGUGCUUAUUAUAAUUAAAAUUUUGAGUACAAUAAUAAAAGUACAUUUUUUGGAUUCUUGAUCACAAGUUGAUGGCAGAUCUAGUUAAUGGUUUUUACGACUUGUACAAUAGAUCAAUGAAUACGACAAUGAAGGGUUAAACCAUUAAAGUGAGCUAUGAUGAAAUAUGCAUAUGAUGAAAUUUAACCGAUAAGUAAUUAAACUACUAAAGUGAGCUAUAAGUUAUUUUAAGUUUUUAACAUGGCAUUGCAUAGAGAUAUGGAUCAAACAUACCUUAGUUAGCCUCAAUUUAAAGUCCUCCUACAGUCAUCAGUACUAACACCCAAGCUAAAUACAUGUACUUUCUCCAAACCUGCAAUAUAGAAGCUGCGAAACAUAAUAAAUUCAAAAGAAUAGUUUGAUUUGUUUAUAUUUAAAAUUGAAAAUUUUCAAUGCAUUAUAAUGAUAACUCUUGUAGUGAAAUAACAUACCGUUUAUGGUUAUUUUAGAUGAUUUUCAUCUCCACACUUAGUUUGUCCAUAACUUUUUACUAUACAAUGUGAGAAAAAAUAUUAUGUCUAACCAACAUAAGAAAUAGAUUAAAACAAAGAUAGCAAUGAAUAUAACUAAUAAAACUCAUACGAUAGCGACGUCGCUUGCGAGGUUGGGCAGUCUCAGUAGCUUGAACUCCUUGCUGCUCCAAUACACUUGUACCUUUGCCAUCUCUACUAUUUUCUGCAAUACGAAUUUGAUUAUUAUUAUUAACCUAACACCUCAAUAUGAAUCAACCACAAACAAAUCAAUUAAAUUAUAAUCUCAAAUCGACAAGUUGACAAUACCUGAUGCACUUGAUCUCUCUAAAAUUAUAUCUUCAGCAAUCUUUUCAACCUAUAAUAAAAAGAAUAUAAGACUUUUAUUCAAAAGAUUAAAAGCUAACAAAAUAACAUAUUAACGAUACGUAACUUGUGAAGAACAAAUAUUUGAUUGUUGGGAUAAAAGGAAUGCCACUUUCUCCUCUAUGAAUUUUAAUCUGUCUUUAAGAUCACGUAUUUCCUCUUUAUCCCUUAAAAUUUCUUCUUCCGGAACCAUCCUUAGCCGCUGAGAUGUGUUAAUUGAUGAGGUACCAAACAUAGAAGGAGUUGGGCCGAAUCCUACACCACGAACACGGCCAUGCCGUUCUUUGCCUAUCACUUCGGCAUAAGCAUCAGUAGCUGCCCACAUUAAGCUUCCUCCUGAGCUACCAGUUUGUGAGACAUCUACUUCUUUUUGGUUGAGUGGCUCCAGCUUUUCCUAUAGUAUAGAAAGUAUAAAACAAUUAUAAUAAGAUUAGCUAAGAAAAUAUGACUAAUUUAAUUACAGAGUCAUAUAAAACAUACAAUUUUGUUUUUUGCUAAUUCUGUAACAGGUUCUCCAUUUUUCUUUUUGUGAUGCACCACAUAUNUGGAUAAGACUUGAUGCUAUCAUUUGUUAAUGACAGAUUACCCACAUAUGAUAACCUCUUGAACAAUUAAAUUAAAACAGUACUAGAAAUAAACAUUUGUCGUAUCAGGUCAUACCUUCGAACCUUCAAAGAAGUUCCUGCUGAAUGUUGCAAACCAACAUAUCUUACCCUAUCACCUGGAUAAGCCAUUUAACGAAAAACUCAAUUAGAGAUGCAUGUUGUAACAACGAAGAGAAACACAAUUAUACGACUUUGAUAAUGCAGUUGAUGGUUCUUGUCUGGACAAAGAUUGGCAGCCAUAGUGUGCUCCCGACUAGAAGCUGAACUCUUAAUUUGUGAGGAAUCAAGUAAUUCAGCUUUUAGACUAAGCGAGAAAACCUCAAAGAUAUCUUUCUUCAUACCUUCUUUAUAGGGUUCCAACUCCUUGGAAGAUAGUCCCUGAAACAAAGAGAAGUUUUUCUUUUCUGAAUUUUCAUUCUAACCAAUUACCCAAAAUAUACGUGAUUUGCAAUCUUAAACAGAGAAGAAGAGAAAAUAGUAAAUAACAAUUUUGUCUUAAGGGAGAUAAUUAUGGCAUCCCACUUAAAUUAUGAAAUUCAAACCAAGAUUACAUAUAUACCCCACUUUUCCUUACAUAAACUGUGCCCUUACAUAUAUCAGAAGUGCCUCAUAAAUCCUCACAACAUAUCAGUAAUUCUUUUCUGCAAUGGCAUUUUACAUGGAGAAAUUAUUGCCGCACAAGGUGUAUCCG